rnacentral:rRNA from 1 species
UACGUAGGGGGCGAGCGUUGUCCGGAUUUACUGGGCGUAAAGAGCGUGUAGGCGGCCACGCAGGUCCGUUGUGAAAACUGAAGGCUCAACCUCCAGACGUCGACGGAAACCGUAUGGCUAGAGUCCGGAAGAGGAGAGUGGAAUUCCUGGUGUAGCGGUGAAAUGCGCAGAUAUCAGGAAGAACACCAAUGGCGAAGGCAGCUCUCUGGGACGGUACUGACGCUGAGACGCGAAAGCGUGGGGAGCGAACAGG